CCACGGUAUAAAGACUUGCAGGUAAGGUGGACUGCAGGUGACGUUACAUUGACCCGUGUGUGUCUAGCGAUUGUUCUUGCGCCCUAUGCAUGCUGGGAUACGCUCCAACUCCCCCGCGCCUCUGCUCAGAGUGAAGCAGGUUUACAGAAUGCAUGGAUAUGCAAUGGAGGACUACUCAUGAAGUAACUGGGUGGGAUGUAUUCACAGAUGGCCCAAAAAACAUCUUAGGAAAAACGAUAGCAGCUUUUUAUAUUAUGAACUUUGGCGUAUGGAAAGGGAAAAGACUGCUAAAUGAUUUAACAAGCUACACGGCGGAAUUAAUGGCGUUUAUUUUAGCGUUAGACCAACAAAGGUUAUUUAUCUGCUCGGAUUCCCAUUCGACAUUGUUGUCGUUUAAAGCAGAUGAAUGUAUGACUAGGCAGGAUAUGCUUCUGGAAAUAUUGCAUUUAUAUAACCGUGUAAUUAGCUGCAAUAACAUUAAAGAAUCAUCUGGGGAGAACAGUCAGUAGCACUGACAUGUACAAACAGCUGACGACAAUUGUUAAAAACACUGGAUUAAGGAAAAUAAUACAGCAAUGAUUAUGGAAUAGGAAAUUUUGCCUCCAUACAGCAGAUGGCGGUAAUAUAUCAAGAGAACCUAAACGGCCGUUUGCUAAACGAAGAAAGGCACGCAUGCGCAGUGCAAAGCAGGCGGAAACACGCAGCACGUGGUAUCUUGUGGCGAGUUUUUCAGUGAAGCGGGACUCUAGGUUUCAAAAAAGGACAGGAGGUGGUGGUCUCCAGCCUUCAGACUUGUAUCAAGGUAAAAGUCUACAGCCUUCAGCUCUCAGAUAUGGAGGAGGUGAGCCCAUCUGUCUGUAUGAAAGGUCAAGGUGAAGAGGGGGGCUCGGAAGAGGUCUGUGAUGAUAAGA